AUCACCCUAAUGACUUGGGCUCAACCUUUGAGCCUGAAUCAAGGUUCAUUUGGUUUAAUCAAAGAUAUGGACUCGAUCAAUUACAACUAUUAUUUUUGAUCUAGAGUAUCUAAUCUAAAUCAGCUAUUGGUUAGAUUGGAUCAACUACUCUUUUUAGUCUAUUAAAUCUUUGAUUCUAACCUUAGGUCUAACUCAAUUAAAAGGACCUGA
rnacentral:lncRNA from 1 species